ensembl:snRNA U6 U6 spliceosomal RNA
GUGCUCACCUUGGCAGCACAUAUACUAAAAUUAGAAUGGUACAGAGAAGAUAAGCAUGGCCCCUGCACAAGGAUGACAUGCAAAUUCGUGAAGUGUUGCAUAUUUUU